UCAAGCUACAAAGGGCGUAUGGUGAAUGCCUUGGCAUCAGGAGCCGAUGAAGGACGUGAUAAGCUGCGAUAAGCUUCGGGUAGGCGCAAAUAGCCUGAGAUCCGGAGAUCUCCGAAUGAGGAAACUCACAUGGGAAACCCCAUGUAUCCAUAAGUGAAUACAUAGCUUAUGGAGGGUAAACCCAGGGAACUGAAACAUCUAAGUACCUGGAGGAAGAGAAAGAAAAAUCGAUUUUCUUAGUAGCGGCGAGCGAAAAGGAAAGAGCCCAAACCAGAAAUUUAUUUCUGGGGUUGCGGACAUAGCAUAAAAGUGAAGGCUAUUGUAAUUGAAGAGAACUGGAAAGUUCCACCGUAGAAGGUAAUAGUCCUGUAAGUAAAACGAGAAGAUCACAAGCUAUGAUCCAGAGUACCACGAGACACGUGAAACCUUGUGGGAAGCAGGGAGGACCACCUCCCAAGGCUAAAUACUACCUGAUGACCGAUAGUGAAGCAGUACCGUGAGGGAAAGGUGAAAAGAACCCCGGGAGGGGAGUGAAAUAGAACCUGAAACCGUAUGCCUACAACCGUUCAAAGCCCCUUAUGAGGGUGAUGAAGUGCUUUUUGUAGAACGAGCCAACGAGUUACGAUAUGUUGCGAGGUUAAGUACUUAAGGUACGGAGCCGAAGGGAAACCGAGUCUGAAUAGGGCAACUAGUAGCAUGUCGUAGACCCGAAACCGGGUGACCUAUCCAUGGCCAGGUUGAAGCGAAGGUAAAACUUCGUGGAGGACCGAACCACGUUGCUGUUGAAAAAGCAUGGGAUGAGCUGUGGAUAGCGGAGAAAUUCCAAUCGAACUCGGAUAUAGCUGGUUCUCCUCGAAAUAGCUUUAGGGCUAGCGUCGGGUAAUUAAGUACUGGAGGUAGAGCACUGAAUGGGCUAGGGGGCAUAGCGCUUACCGAACCUUAUCAAACUCCGAAUGCCAGAUACUCGUACCCCGGCAGUCAGACUACGAGUGAUAAGACCCGUGGUCAAAAGGGAAACAGCCCAGAUCGUCAGCUAAGGUCCCAAAGUGUAAGUUAAGUGGGAAAGGAUGUGGGAUUUCUAAGACAACUAGGAUGUUGGCUUAGAAGCAGCCACUCAUUUAAAGAGUGCGUAAUAGCUCACUAGUCGAGAGAUCCUGCGCCGAAAAUGUAACGGGGCUAAACUUACCACCGAAGCUACGGACUUGAAUUUAUUCAAGUGGUAGAGGAGCGUCGUAAUCGGGCUGAAGUCAUACCGUAAGGAGUGGUGGACUGAUUACGAGUGAGAAUGUUGGCAUUAGUAGCGAGAUGUGAGUGAGAAUCUCACAGGCCGAAAACCUAAGGUUUCCUCAGGAAGGCUCGUCCGCUGAGGGUUAGUCGGGACCUAAGCCGAGGCCGAAAGGCGUAGGCGAUGGACAACUGGUUGAUAUUCCAGUACCACUACCAUCGUUAUUAUCGAUGGCGUGACGCAGGAGGAUAGGAUGUGCUAGCUGUUGGAUUAGCUAGUCUAAGCAUUUAGGGAGUUAAGGUAGGCAAAUCCGCCUUAACAAUUCUGAGAUGUGAUGGGGAAGGCUCUACGGAGCUGAAGUAUCUGAUUCCACGCUGCCAAGAAAAGCGUCUAGAGAGAGAAGUAGUGCCCGUACCGCAAACCGACACAGGUAGGUGAGGAGAGAAUCCUAAGGCCGGCGGAAGAAUUGCAGUUAAGGAACUCGGCAAAUUGACCCCGUAACUUCGGGAGAAGGGGUGCCUACGAGAGUAGGCCGCAGAGAAUAGGCCCAAGCAACUGUUUAGCAAAAACACAGGUCUCUGCUAAAGCGUAAGCUGAUGUAUAGGGGCUGACGCCUGCCCGGUGCUGGAAGGUUAAGGGGAAUGCUUAGCGCAAGCGAAGGUAUGAACUUAAGCCCCAGUAAACGGCGGCCGUAACUAUAACGGUCCUAAGGUAGCGAAAUUCCUUGUCAGGUAAGUUCUGACCCGCACGAAUGGCGUAAUGAUUUGGGCACUGUCUCAACUGCAAAUCCGGCGAAGUUGUAGUGCGAGUGAAGAUGCUCGCUACCCGCGAUUGGACGGAAAGACCCCGUAGAGCUUUACUGUAGCUUAGCAUUGAAUUUCGGUAUUGUCUGUACAGGAUAGGUGGGAGGCUUUGAAGCUAGGACGUCAGUCUUAGUGGAGCCAACCUUGGGAUACCACCCUGAUAGUACUGGAAUUCUAACUGGAGGCCAUGAAUCUGGUCACAGGACAUUGUUAGGUGGGCAGUUUGACUGGGGCGGUCGCCUCCUAAAAAGUAACGGAGGCGCCCAAAGGUUCCCUCAGAACGGUCGGAAAUCGUUCGAAGAGUGCAAAGGCAGAAGGGAGCCUGACUGCGACACAUACAGGUGGAGCAGGGACGAAAGUCGGGCUUAGUGAUCCGGUGGUUCCUCGUGGGAGGGCCAUCGCUCAACGGAUAAAAGCUACCUCGGGGAUAACAGGCUGAUCUCCCCCAAGAGUUCACAUCGACGGGGAGGUUUGGCACCUCGAUGUCGGCUCGUCGCAUCCUGGGGCUGAAGUAGGUCCCAAGGGUUGGGCUGUUCGCCCAUUAAAGCGGCACGCGAGCUGGGUUCAGAACGUCGUGAGACAGUUCGGUCCCUAUCCGUCGCGGGCGUAGGAAAUUUGAGAGGAGCUGUCCUUAGUACGAGAGGACCGGGAUGGACUGACCUCUGGUGUACCAGUUGUUCCGCCAGGAGCACAGCUGGGUAGCUACGUCGGGAAGGGAUAAACGCUGAAAGCAUCUAAGCGUGAAGCCCCCCUCAAGAUAAGAUUUCCCAUAGAGUAAUCUAGUAAGACCCCUUGAAGACUACAAGGUUGAUAGGUCGGAGGUGUAAGCAUGGUAACAUGUUCAGCUGACCGAUACUAAUAGGUCGAGGGCUUGAUCU
rnacentral:rRNA from 1 species